UAUGAAACAAAAUUGUUUUAAAAAAGGCUGAGAUUUGUAAAUUUUGCUUACAUACUAUUUUUGUCAUAGUAAUAACAAAACACCAUACGUAUGGGUUAACAAUUGGAUUAUCCCUACAUGAUAACAAAUAGUUAUGACAUACAGGUGAGCAAUAAAUUAUUAUAAUAGCUCUUUCGUGACAAAAACAUUACAAUGAGCAGUAC